GAUGAACGCUGGCUACAGGCUUAACACAUGCAAGUCGAGGGGAAACGACGGGGAAGCUUGCUUCCCCGGGCGUCGACCGGCGCACGGGUGAGUAACGCGUAUCCAACCUGCCUCUGACUGAGGGAUAACCCGUCGAAAGUCGGCCUAAUACCUCAUGGCAUCGUCUGCGGGCAUCCAACGACGAUUAAAGAUUUCAUCGGUCAGGGAUGGGGAUGCGUCUGAUUAGCUUGUUGGCGGGGUAACGGCCCACCAAGGCUACGAUCAGUAGGGGUUCUGAGAGGAAGGUCCCCCACAUUGGAACUGAGACACGGUCCAAACUCCUACGGGAGGCAGCAGUGAGGAAUAUUGGUCAAUGGGCGAGAGCCUGAACCAGCCAAGUAGCGCGCAGGAAGACGGCCCUAUGGGUUGUAAACUGCUUUUAUGCGGGGAUAAAGUGAGGGACGUGUCCUUCAUUGCAGGUACCGCAUGAAUAAGGACCGGCUAAUUCCGUGCCAGCAGCCGCGGUAAUACGGAAGGUCCGGGCGUUAUCCGGAUUUAUUGGGUUUAAAGGGAGCGUAGGCCGUGGAUUAAGCGUGUUGUGAAAUGCAGGUGCUCAACGUCUGCACUGCAGCGCGAACUGGUCCACUAGAGUGUGCGCAACGCAGGCGGAAUUUCGUCGUGUAGCGGUGAAAUGCUUAGAUAUGACGAAGAACUCCGAUUGCGAAGGCAGCUUGCGGGAGCACAACUGACGCUGAAGCUCGAAAGUGCGGGUAUCGAACAGG
rnacentral:rRNA from 1 species